UACGUAGGGUGCAAGCGUUAAUCGGAAUACUGGGCGUAAAGCGUGCGCAGGCGGUGAUGUAAGACAGAUGUGAAAUCCCCGGGCUCAACCUGGGAACUGCAUUUGUGACCGCAUCGCUGGAGUACGGCAGAGGGGGAUGGAAUUCCGCGUGUAGCAGUGAAAUGCGUAGAUAUGCGGAGGAACACCGAUGGCGAAGGCAAUCCCCUGGGCCUGUACUGACGCUCAUGCACGAAAGCGUGGGGAGCAAACAGG
rnacentral:rRNA from 1 species